rnacentral:rRNA from 1 species
CACGUAGUUAGCCGGGGCUUCUUAGUCAGGUACCGUCUGGCGACCCAAAGGUCGCUAUUUCUUCCCUGCUGAUAGAGCUUUGCAUACCGAAAUACUUCUUCACUCACGCGGCGUCGCUGCAUCAGGGUUUCCCCCAUUGUGCAAUAUUCCCCACUGCUGCCUCCCGUAGGAGUUUGGGCCGUGUCUCAGUCCCAAUGUGGCCGUUCACCCUCUCAGGCCGGCUACUGAUCGUCGCCUUGGUGAGCCAUUACCCCGCCAACAAGCUAAUCAGACGCGGAACCAUCGUAUACCACCAGAGUUUUUCACACCACUUCAUGCGAAGCUGUGCGCUUAUGCGGUAUUAGCACCUAUUUCUAAGUGUUAUCCCCCAGUAUACGGCAGGUUUUCCACGCGUUACUCACCCGUCCGCCACUAACUCAUAAAUCACUAGGUUUCAAUAUGAGUCCGUUCGACUUGCAUGUGUUAAGCACGCCGCCAGCGUUCAUCCUGAGCCAGGAUA